AUGGGACAUUGCCUUUGGACCGCUGUUCUUCUUGCUGCACUUAUCUUUGAAUGCAGAGGAGAAGACUCAGUCAUUCAGCCACCAGGAGAUGUGAUCGCUACUGAGGGAGAACAGGUCACAAUGGACUGUCAAUUUGAUACUACGGAUACAGCUCCAUCUCUCUUCUGGUACAUUCAAUCCACAAACAAUUACCCUGAAUAUGUUUUGCGGAAGGAUGUCAUUGGACCAGGGGAUAUUGAUGAUAGAUUCAAGGGGAGAUUUGAUGCCCAUCUCAGUUCCAUCACCAAAUCAGUCCCCUUGACAAUCCAGAGGUUGCAGCUGUCUGACUCUGCUGUGUACUACUGUGCACUGAGGCCCACUGUGACAACAGGAUAUACAGCCCCCUUACAAAAACACUGUGUGUGCAGGUGGGUGCGUGUGUACAGGACUUUGUGUUUUUUUAAGUCAAUGGGAGGUGUUAUAUAAUUGAGGCAGAGGAAAGGAAAUGCCUUUUAUAGCUGACAGUGAGAAACCAGGG